GGCAAUCCGCUAGGCAAGCGCCUAGGGCUAGUUUUUAUUUAUAACAAAAAAGAAAAAUACAACAAUUAGGAAAAGUAAAAAUAAGGGGGACAAUAGCACCGGUCUUGUUACCCAUAUAACACAAAUCGGGCUAACAUUACCUUACUAAUCCUAUUGAGGCUUGCAAAAAUAGAACUACACUUUAUGAAUUAUUACAUAGAUCCUAAAAAUAGAAUAACAAUGACAAUUGAAUUAGGUAAAGAACUUUUGGCAUGAGAUCAACACUCCAAAUACUGGAGUACACACAUAUUUCUGGUGUUCCCUUCUUUGCUUCAAUAUCUAUUGGUUUAGCCAAAUCAGUUACCAAUUGAAACCUAAAUUAGAGCUAUGUGUGUAGUUACCACUGGGGCUUUCCAACUAUCAUGAAAAACCAAUAGUUACUACAGAUAAGAUUUUACAACUUAAACAAAUACUUUAUCAUAUUCUCUAAUUCUAACUGAUAACAAAGUAGAAACUUCAUGGCUAAAGAAUAAAUUGUAUAGAUGAGAAACUUCAUACAGAUUUGCAAAUAACUUCAGCUAAACAAAUUUCAAUCGUUAUUUAACAUGAUGUACACAGUAACUUAGCUCAUAUCCAAAACUGUAUUCUAACAAUACCAAAACAAACACAAUUUGAUAAACACCAAACAAUAGUCAUAAUACUGAAACUUGACAGGGUAACAAACACCUUCAAACAAACUGAAAUUUACAUUAUCUAAAUAGGAGUAAUACCUCAGUAGCAGAAAGAAACGAAAGAAAUAGAAAAUAAGUCUCUAAACUUGGCGAUAAUAGCAAGAAACCAAAUAGCAGCAGAAAAACAACAGGAAUAAAGAAACAACCAGCAAAUGAAGCUAAAGAGAACCCAACUUCAAAAACCCGGAAAGUUUUUCUACUUAGAGAUGAAGAUGAAUGUAAUUUCUGAAAAUGUAGUCAAUCUCUGUGUAAAAACAGUCUUCAAAAUGAAGAAAAAGAGUGUCAAUUUUUAGAGUGUAUUUUCUGUGUGUGAAGUCUGUCUCAAAAUGAAAGGAACUACCAGGUUUUUCAGGGAUUAUCUCUCUGUAUUUCUGUAGAGAAUUCCUCUCUUAUAUAGAAUAUAUGAAUGCCUUAAGAUAGAGAUGAGGGGGGAUAAAAGGGAAUUUGUCAUCCCUCCCUAAAAUUCAGGAAAAUAGCAUCUUUUCUAACAGAUUGGGACAAUUGUCCCUUUCUAGAAGUUUUUUCUUAUUUUUUCAGCUCCUUAACUUCUGAUUUUAACCCUUUUACCCCAAAUUUUGACCUAAACUUUGAUUUUUAAUAUACUUUAGUCCCUUCUAGAGACUUUCCCAAACAACCAAAUCAGAUUCCCUAAUUUUUCAAAUCCCUUUGACCCCUUUAGCUUUUGAAAAUUAAUUCUUUUGACCCCAAUUUGACCUAAUACAAUUAUGCAAUUGCAUUUUAGUCCUUCCUCUAGAAACUUUCUAACAAAGCUGCCAGAUUCCUUAAGGUAAUAAGAAUUAUUUCACUAGAUUUUCUAGCAAAAUCUUUAGAUCAGAAAAAUAGCGGGUCAUCACAACAUGGGCUCAAAACACACUGAUCUUCUUUAUUCUAUCAUAUUCAAUGAUUACCUAGACCCAACCCCCUUCUAAUUAUGAACCUAAAACCAAUUAAGAUAAAAAAAAUUCAAACACUAACACAUAGGGAAUUGACAUCAGGAUCUAAACAAACUAAUCCAUAUGAUAAAAAUAAUCAAUUUAAGUGAAAUCGAACAAGAGUGUUCUUAAUCCUAAUGUCAAUUAAUUCAAGAAUUAAACAAGUUCAUUCUUCAAAUAUGGCAGAUAUAAACAACAAUGUUAUAAAGGUAAAAAUGCAUGAAUGAACAAAGAAUGAGAGUAUACCUACUGCAUACAAAUCCAGCGAACUAAGAGAACAAAUGCAGAAUCCAAGUGAGCCGGAGAAAUUGCCACAUUAACACUAGCCAAUUCUCCAUGCAAGUCCAUGUUAUAUGUGACAAUAUCUCCUACUGGCUGGAAAAUGGGAGAACAAGGCGAGAUAGUUCCAGGCUUUGACACAAAGUGAAGCUACCAGGAAAUGUCAAUACUCACUAUUAUGGACUUUUGUGUAACAUUAACCUUUAAAUGAGUAACGAUUAAAGAGGAAAAAGAGAUUUUGGAUUUUCUUGAAUUUCUAAUCCUAAAAUCAUGAAUUUUGGAUGGGGUUUGGAAGAAAUGGUCAAUGAAUUGGGAUGAGGGAGUGAUGAAAAGUAUCUGGUGAGAAUUUGGGGCGAUUUGGAGCUAAACCACCGGCGGAGACGAUUUCCGAUGGGUGGCUCGGCGACUGAAGUUAAGAGAAGUGAGGGAGAUGGUUUUUGGGGUAUAUC
rnacentral:lncRNA from 1 species